UACGUAGGUGGCAAGCGUUGUCCGGAAUUAUUGGGCGUAAAGCGCGCGCAGGCGGUCCUUUAAGUCUGAUGUGAAAGCCCACGGCUCAACCGUGGAGGGUCAUUGGAAACUGGGGGACUUGAGUGCAGAAGAGGAUAGUGGAAUUCCAAGUGUAGCGGUGAAAUGCGUAGAGAUUUGGAGGAACACCAGUGGCGAAGGCGACUAUCUGGUCUGUAACUGACACUGAGGCGCGAAAGCGUGGGGAGCAAACAGG
rnacentral:rRNA from 1 species